rnacentral:rRNA from 1 species
UCGAGAAUCUUCGGCAAUGGGCGCAAGCCUGACCGAGCGACGCCGCGUGGAGGAUGAAGGCCUUCGGGUUGUAAACUCCUGUCGAGGGGGAAGAAGGCUCGUAAGAGCUUGACUGAUCCCUGGAGGAAGCACGGGCUAAGUUCGUGCCAGCAGCCGCGGUAAGACGAACCGUGCGAACGUUAUUCGGAAUCACUGGGCUUAAAGCGCGUGUAGGCGGGAGGGUACGUCCGUCGCUGAAAUCCCCCGGCUCAACCGGGGAACGGGCGCGGAUACGGCUUUCCUGGAGGAACGUAGGGGGAUCUGGAACUUCCGGUGGAGCGGUGAAAUGCGUUGAGAUCGGAAGGAACGCCCGUGGCGAAAGCGAGAUCCUGGACGUUUUCUGACGCUGAGACGCGAAAGCCAGGGGAGCGAACGGGAUUAGAUACCCCGGUAGUCC